rnacentral:rRNA from 1 species
AGAGUUUGAUCCUGGCUCAGAACGAACGCUGGCGGCAUGCCUAACACAUGCAAGUCGAACGCCUGCAGCAAUGCAGGAGUGGCGCACGGGUGAGUAACGCGUGGGAACCUGCCCUGGAGUGGGGGAUAACCGAGGGAAACCUCGGCUAAUACCGCAUACGACCUGAGGGUGAAAGAUUUAUCGCUCUAGGAGGGGCCCGC